rnacentral:rRNA from 1 species
GGCGAACGGGUGAGGAUUACAUGGGUAACCUACCCUCGAGUGGGGGAUAACCAGCCGAAAGGUUGGCUAAUACCGCGUACGCUUCCGGAACUGCGGUUUCGGAAGGAAAGCGAUACCGUGGGUAUCGCGCUCUUGGAUGGGCUCAUGCCCUAUCAGCUUGUUGGUGAGGUAACGGCUCACCAAGGCUUCGACGGGUAGCUGAUCUGAGAGGAUGAUCAGCCACACUGGCACUGCGACACGGGCCAGACUCCUACGGGAGGCAGCAGUAAGGAAUAUUGCGCAAUGGGCGAAAGCCUGACGCAGCGACGCCGCGUGGGGGAUGAAGGUCUUCGGAUUGUAAACCCCUUUCGGGAGGGAAGAUGGGAUGGGGUAACCCAUUCGGACGGUACCUCCAGAAGCAGCCACGGCUAACUUCGUGCCAGCAGCCGCGGUAAUACGAAGGUGGCAAGCGUUGUUCGGAUUUACUGGGCGUACAGGGAGCGUAGGCGGUUGGGUAAGCCCUCCGUGAAAUCUCCAGGCUUAACCUGGAAAGUGCAGAGGGGACUGCUUAGCUAGAGGAUGGGAGAGGAGCGCGGAAUUCCCGGUGUAGCGGUGAAAUGCGUAGAGAUCGGGAGGAAGGCCGGUGGCGAAGGCGGCGCUCUGGAACAUUUCUGACGCUGAGGCUCGAAAGCGUGGGGAGCAAACAGGAUUAGAUACCCUGGUAGUCCACGCCUUAAACGAUGGAUACUAAGUGUCGGCGGGUUACCGCCGGUGC